rnacentral:RNase_P_RNA from 2 species
GAGAGGAGAAGGCCAGCUUUCGCGGCUUUUUAGAGGUCGUGAGGAAAGUCCCCCCACCUCCGAACAUGGGAUGUCGAGAUGGCAUAAGGCGAGAGCCUUGGCCCUGGUACAGAAACGACACGGCUUGUUUUGAGCUAUGAUUUGAUUGGGAGUCGAUGAGCGAUGAGGAACAAGAAUCGAUGGAACGACGAAACCCCUAGGUGCAAGUCCAAACCGGGUUAUGGGUUGUUCGGCCCUAUCCCAGGUAGGAUGCUAAGAUGAAUGCUGGCAUUGGAUUUUCCAAGAACAGAAGGGGGCUUACUCUCUCCACUC